rnacentral:rRNA from 1 species
AGCGCAGGCGGUUUUUUAAGUCUGAUGUGAAAGCCCUUGGCUCAACCAAGGAAGUGCAUCGGAAACUGGAGAACUUGAGUGCAGAAGAGGACAGUGGAACUCCAUGUGUAGCGGUGAAAUGCGUAGAUAUAUGGAAGAACACCAGUGGCGAAGGCGGCUGUCUGGUCUGUAACUGACGCUGAGGCUCGAAAGCAUGGGUAGCAAACA